GUCGCUUUGGCGGAGUGGUUAACGCGCUGCCCUGCUAUUUCCGCUUGAAAGUUCAGCAAUGUUCCUAGGGAUAGCAUGUUAGGCAGUUCCUUCGGGAGCGUAGGUUCGAAUCCUGCAGGCGACG